rnacentral:snRNA from 1 species
UAUAUCUAGUGCGUCAUGAGU